UUUAACUGCUCUGGGUCUGUGCUGGCUCCAGACUGCUGGGUCUGCACCGAUGUGACGGCCAAGAAGGUCCGAGAAGAGGCCUUGUUCCCCCAGGACAAAAGCGGGUCUGAGGCUCGGCGACGCCGCCCUGAUGCCCCGCGCCAGGCCUGGGAGAGGGACUGCCGAUCCGGGUCCCGCUCUGCCCACAGACCCCAGUGGCAGCGGUGGUGCUGAGGGACCCGCCUCAGGUUGUUGGUGUGGAGUGGAGGAUAAGAAGGCAUCUUCUGAGCACAGCAUUUCUGCCAAGUAAUGCCACAGGAUAGGACUCUGAAAGCAGGUCUGUCUCCCCAGAAGGCCCACCUCUGUGAGAUGUGUGGACCCAUGUUGAGAGACAGUUUGCACUUGGUUGAACACCAGGAAACACAUCACAGGCAGAAACUGCACAUGUGUGGGGCAUGUGGAAAACAAUUUCCUCUCACUGCAGACCUUUAUCAGCUGCACAAGCAGUGUGUUGGAGAGAAAUGCUUCAAAAGCAGCAUGAGCAGAGCCUUAUUCUUGAAGAGCUGCUAAUUCCAUGUGUUAGGGAAGUCCUUUACCUGUAAGGGGGUUGGGAAGGACUUUCUGGCCAGCUCGGGACAUCUUCAGCAACAGGCCACUCACAUCAGGGAGAAGUCAAACAGUGGACCGGAGUGUGUGGUGGACUUCCACAGUGUAAACAGCCAUUACAACCGGCUAGAGUGCAUGAAAGCUUGCAGCCCCAAACACACCCUUGUUCAGCACCAGAGUCCUCAAGAGGGAAAGAUCUUACAGGUGCCGUGAGUGUGGGAAAUCCUUUAGAAAAAACUGUAGCCUCAGGGAGCAUUUGAGAGUUCACAAUAGAGAAAAGCCUUAUGAGUGUGGGGAAGGUGGAAAAUUAUUUAGCAAGAAGUACAACCUUAUCAUGCAUCAAAAAGUUCACCCUGGUGAAAAGCCAUAUGAGUGCAGUGAACGUGGGGAAUCUUUUAGCCAGAGCUCUCGCCUCAUUAGACACCAGAGAAUUAACGCUGGAGAAAGGCCUUAUGAGUGCAGUGAAUGGAAAGUCCUUUACCUUCAACCCCAAUCUCCUAAAAUACCAGAAUGUUCACAAGGAAUAAAGGCCUUUACAUAAUAUAGGUAUGCCCUAUAAGAAGAUAACUAAGGACAAAUGAGGUCAUAAGAACGGGGUCCUAAUCCAGUGUGACUUGUGUCCGUGGAAGAAGACAAGGCACCAGAAGGUGCUCACUUUCUCGCUGUAUUCACGAACAGAGGAAAGGCCAUUUAAUGACACACCAAGAAAGUGGUUGAUUAGAAGUCAGAAAGAAAGGCCUCACCAGAAACCAUUCCUGAUGGCACCUUGGUCUUAGACUCCCAGCCUCUAGAAAUAGGAGAAUAUACAUUUCUUUAAGCCACCCAGUCUGUGGUAUUUUGUUGUGGCAGCCUGAAAAGAGACAAAGAUGCAAAGAAGGUACCUCAUUGUAUUCUGUUUUUGCCGUACUGAUAACAGUAGACGCAAAUAACCUUGAGAAUGUAUAGAAUAGUAAAGCAUAGUGAAAUAAUUAGGAAGUUACAAAUUUUAAGUUACCUUUGCUUUUCAAACAGCUUUACUGAAGUACAAUCAGUUGUCAUUCACGCUAGUCAUGUUCUCUAAUUCACUGAAUCAGUGAAUAUAGAGCCAUUGUUCCUAGGGGAAAUCUGGAAUUAGGUUCCUGAGAGCCUCUGGUCACAAUGUUUUUGUCAACAGGUCAGUACAUAACAUGGUUUUCCAUGUGUUUCUGUUUAAAGACAACUCAUUUACUGUAUACUGUUGAUUCGUUAACACUGAAAUCAUGGCCAACAGCAUGAUGAUUCAUGCCUGAACAAUGCUUACCUAACAUGUAUUUUCUUUAAGGCCCAUUUUUUGGGCUUAGGAACUCUAGGCGGCACAUAAGCGCCAGGUUUGGAGGCCAUUUUGGACCACAAAACCACCAAGAAGUGUAAAAAUGUAAGUAUUGAUUUGGGGGGUUUCCAGUUUUGGCAGGUAGGCAAAUUUACAAAUACAGAAUCCAUGAAAAAUGAGGAUUGACUAAUUGUCUUGCCAUAAAUUGUGCAUACUUAAAGAUAUACUCAGGCUGAAACUUGUGCUUUUUCACCAUUUUAUGGACUCGCCAAGACUUUGUGAGGACUUUGGUGGAGUCUAGGAUGUUUCAUUCAGCCAGGUGCAUAUGAUCAGGGGCAAAUUCAGUCAUCUGUGAGUCACCAGACCUGGGGUGGGUUAUCAGUGGGCCUGGGCUUUGAAUGAUGGUUGGAUGGACAGAGGAAGGGUGUGAUUUCUGAGGGUACAGCAAGUGCAGAAAAAGCAGAUAGGACCAUGGGUAGCUGAGAUCCACACAUGGUUCUCUGUGGCUGCGUCUGAGCCAAGGAGUUGAAUGAGACCUGCAUGGAGUGAUUUGGGGCUGUGGUUGCUAACAGGAACCAUGGGAAGUCUGUAGUCAUACUGGAUCCUCUCUGAAUUUGUCAAGGAUAUUCUGGAUGCUGUCUGCCAAGUUGUGUUGUAAGUUCUAAAAUUAAGGCCAAUAGAUAUGCUGCCUUGGCAUCUGGUGAAACAAGGAUGCCCUCAAAUGGCCGUGGUGCAAGUUUCCCUCCACAUGCUUCUCACAGGUAAUGUCUCCUAACCUUACAACCCUUUUUAUCAAAGGGAGCAGGCACAGUUCCUGCUUAUCCCUUUGUAGUGAGUUUCAGUUCCCUACCAGCCUGCAGAGUCAUUUAAACAAGCCAAUCAUGUCCUCUUGCGGGAAGCAGGGCACCAUACCCUCUCGAUCCCAAAGAGACUGCAUCCCACAGCCCUUGGUUUUUCACUCCGCCAGCGUGUGGCCUUCCCAUGGCCUUGUGUGUUGUCUCCCACAUGUUAAUAUGUGGUUAAUAAAUGGCUGUUGAUUACAUCUGGCCAGUGUCAGGGGUCAUGUGUUUGGCCACACCCUUAGGGUGGGAAUUAUACCCUCACCAGUGGGGUUAUGAGGAGGUGACUGAAAUACGAGUAACAAGACGCCUACAGUAGGGGGUACUGAUGCUGGUGGCCGUGGGCAUGGGGCUGUGAGGGGUGUGCGUUGGACAGGGAGCACGUCUGAUGGUCUAGAGCACUGCACUGGAAACCACAUGACUGUGGCCACACCCGGGCAAUAGCCUGUGGAGGUGGUACAUCCUUCUGUGCUUGUCCCAGAGCUUAGCUGUUGAUUGCCCAUGUGCCUCCUGCUGCUGAUGGCUUUGCCCAGUGAUCAAUGGACCCCUGAGGAGACAGAGGCACCAGUGGUACCAGGGCCUGGUUUCUUCUCUUAGUUGGGGAGGUUGGGAGGAGGAUGGGCAUAUGGUAGAUGUGAGGGUGGGUGGGUUGGUGGAGAAUGGAUUGUGGCUUCUUGGGAGUGGGGCUGUUUGUGGUUUCAUCUGUCACCAUCAUAGCAGGAUGGCGUGACCUUUGAAGAUGUGGCUGUGACCUUUUCCAGGGAGGAAUGGGGUCUCCUUGAUGAGUCUCGGAGAUGCCUGUACCGUGAUGUGAAGCUGGAGAACUUGGCACUUAGAGCCUCCCUGGGAGUUGCUGGGCUGCCACCUGCUAAAGAAGAGGAUGUGUCACCCAUACCUGUCGUUGGAAUUUCUCCCCGGGCAGAGGAACAAGACAAGGAUGCCCACUCUCACCACUAUUAUUCAACGUAGUUUUGGAAGUUUUAGCCACAACAAUCAGAGAAGAAAAAGAAAUAAAAGGAAUCCAAAUUGGAAAAGAAGUAAAACUGUCACUGUUUGCAGAUGACGUGAUACUAUACAAAGAGAAUCCUAAAGAUGCUACCAGAAAACUACUAGAGCUAAUCAAUGAAUUUGGUAAAGUAGCAGGAUACAAAAUUAAUGCACAGAAAUCUCUUGCAUUCCUAUACACUAAUGAUGAAAAAUCUGAAAGAGAAAUUAAGGAAAC